rnacentral:rRNA from 1 species
CAGUAGCCGCGGUAAUACGAGGGGUGCAAGCGUUAUUCGGAUUGAUUGGGUGUAAAGGGUGUGCAGACGGCUUAUUAAGUCACUUGUUAAAUUCUUCGGCCUAACUGAAGGUCUGCAAGUGAUACUGAUGAGCUAGGGGGUGGAAGAGAGAAGUGGAAUUCUCGGAGUAGCGGUAAAAUGCGUAGAUCUCGAGAGGAACACCAAUGGCGAAGGCAGCUUCUUGGUCCAUUCCUGACGUUCAUACACGAAAGCGUGGGGAGCAAACAGGAUUAGAUACCCCGGUAGUCCCUGUCUCUUAUAC